GGGAAAGUAGUAUAAUGGUUAAUGCACCAUCUUGUCAUGAUGGGCUAUGCCGGUUCGAAUCCGGUCUUUCUCG